rnacentral:misc_RNA from 1 species
GAUGAAGAACGCAGCGAAAUGCGAUAAGUAAUGUGAAUUGCAGAAUUCAGUGAAUCAUCGAAUCUUUGAACGCACAUUGCGCCCGCCAGUAUUCUGGCAGGCAUGCCUGUCCGAGCGUCAUUAUCAACCCUCAAGCCCCUUUGGCUUGGUGUUGGAGACUGGCGGGGCGCAUGCGCCCGGAGCCACUCCCAAAUACAAUGACGGCGGCGACGAUGACCCCCGGUACACUGAGCUUCUCACCGAGCACGUGCUGGAAGGGUCUUGUGGCCACGGUCUGCCUCCCCUCUGGGAGAAACGGAUUUCAUCCACCAAGGUUGACCUCGGAUCAGGUAGGGAUACCCGCUGAACUUAAGCAUAUCAAUAAGCGGAGGA